rnacentral:pre_miRNA from 1 species
AGCCUUCUGUAUCCGUGCUGAGAUUCCGUCACACACUGGACCACAAGGGCUGAUGGGACCCCCAAAGCAUAAUAUU